AUGACGGAUAUUCUCCCCUUUUUGAUUCUCUACCCAGUAAAAAGGUAGUUGUAAUCCCUAUUGCUUUCCCCAGAGAGUUAAUCUUUGAUAUGUUCAUCCUAACCGAUGACGGGUUUUCUCCUCUUUGCGGUCUUCUGCCCAGUAACCGAUAGUUGUAAAUCCUGCUUUCCCAUGUUGAAUCUAUCCUUGAUAUGUUCAUCCUAACCAGUGACGGAUAUU
rnacentral:lncRNA from 1 species